AUGAAAUCAGGGCAGAGUGCAUUCUACAGAGCUGGCCUUGAAUUUCAGAGGAUGGAGAGAGAAGCACAGAAGAGGCAAAGUGUCUCCAUGUCCCUGCAGAGCCCACUAAGUAGACAGACCAGUAUGCACAGUGAAGCUAACAGAGAAACUGGCCCUCAUUCAGGGAAGGGGAGGAUAUGGUUUCCAGCCAAUCAGACUGUCUGUAUUCACAUUCCUGUUAGUUUGAGCACAAAGGGCCCGUGGUUUAUUAUUAGUCAGAAUUAUAACAACUAACAAGCUGUUUGCCUGAAUUAUGUUGCAACACAAUUACACUGGAUCACUUUGUACAGUGCAACAGGUCGGCAUCUACCAACAUGUGAGAAAUAAAUGUAAUUAACAAGGGUGAGAACA
rnacentral:lncRNA from 1 species